GCUGUGUUCUGUCCAGUCUGUCCUGGUGGGCAGCUCAAUGGUGUGUGCAGGAAAAGAAAUCUGAUGGACUUCAUAGGAUCUGUUUCCAGCAGAGGCAUCUGCUACUAACAACCAGUUUCUGGAAAUGAAGAACCUGCAAGGAAUUAAACAUCAUUGUGGUGUGUUCAACUGGAAGUCCUGCAUUCUGUUCUGUGCUGCUCCUGUGAAGAGGAUGCAGCUUGGACAGCCAGGUUGAAGAGGUGAGGUUUAGUUAAGCUCAUGUGACCAUUCUGGCUUUAUGGGAUCUGUGGACACACAUAUGGGGUCUCCUGUGGCGAGCAGUAAGGAUGGUUUAAAAUGCAGGUGGG
rnacentral:lncRNA from 12 species